UGAGGAGCGAAAGCAUGGGGAGCGAACAGGAUUAGAUACCCUGGUAGUCCAUGCCGUAAACGUUGGGCACUAGGUGUGGGGGACAUUCCACGUUUUCCGCGCCGUAGCUAACGCAUUAAGUGCCCCGCCUGGGGAGUACGGCCGCAAGGCUAAAACUCAAAGGAAUUGACGGGGGCCCGCACAAGCGGCGGAGCAUGCGGAUUAAUUCGAUGCAACGCGAAGAACCUUACCAAGGCUUGACAUGAACCGGAAAGAUCUGGAAACAGGUCCCCCACUUGUGGUCGGUUUACAGGUGGUGCAUGGUUGUCGUCAGCUCGUGUCGUGAGAUGUUGGGUUAAGUCCCGCAACGAGCGCAACCCUCGUUCUAUGUUGCCAGCACGUGAUGGUGGGGACUCAUAGGAGACUGCCGGGGUCAACUCGGAGGAAGGUGGGGACGACGUCAAAUCAUCAUGCCCCUUAUGUCUUGGGCUUCACGCAUGCUACAAUGGCCGGUACAAAGGGUUGCGAUACUGUGAGGUGGAGCUAAUCCCAAAAAGCCGGUCUCAGUUCGGAUUGGGGUCUGCAACUCGACCCCAUGAAGUCGGAGUCGCUAGUAAUCGC
rnacentral:rRNA from 2 species